UACGUAGGGCGCAAGCGUUGUCCGGAAUUAUUGGGCGUAAAGAGCUCGUAGGCGGUUUGUCGCGUCUGCUGUGAAAACCUAAGGCUCAACCUUGGGCUUGCAGUGGGUACGGGCAGACUAGAGUGCGGUAGGGGUGACUGGAAUUCCUGGUGUAGCGGUGGAAUGCGCAGAUAUCAGGAGGAACACCGAUGGCGAAGGCGGUCAUCUGGGCCAGUACUGACGCUGAGGAGCGAAAGCGUGGGGAGCGAACAGG
rnacentral:rRNA from 1 species